CGCGGUCCCUGUGGCCUUUGGGUUGCCCAGAGCCAGCCGUGCUGUCCUCAGGAGAACCACAAGGGCACCCGGAUUAGUGCCAUUGUCACAGAGAUGAGCCGGGGACACACCAGGGGGGAGAAAGAGCUGAGGAGAAAGGCCAGUGUGGGGAGACAAGGAUGUAACCUUUGUCAUUCCCAAAUGCCUUUUAAUCGAUGGCGAUACGUUGCAGAGUUUUGUAGUGUUCAUUUUCUCCUCAUGAAUUUCAGGCAAAAAUACCUUUUUUUUUGCCCCCUAAUCUUAUUUUUGGUUUACCUCAUUUUACCUCUCCCCCGCCCCCCAAGUUUGUCACUGAAAUAUAAGCUGUGGUGUAGGGGGGAGAAGGAAAUCAAAGACAGAAUAAUAUGGCACUUGUGAUCUUUUUUCUUUUAAACUCCUGUUUAGACUAAAGACCCCCAAUUUUGCUUUCCUCAGCUGGCUCCCCUGCAGAGCUGCCUUUCUAGUGGGCUCACAUUCCCUGUACCAACAUGAUGUCUCUUCGGCGUUGCAGUGCUUGAGCUCUUUGGAGAUGUAGGUGUUUUAAGAAGCCAAACAGUCGGUGGAGUUUCUCGACUGGUGACUUGCAGCAGAUGGACCUGCAAAGGCGUGCGAAACGAAGCCUCAGCUCGGUUCGGUGGGGAAGGAGAGCAUCUCUGCUAAGUGUUGGCAGCCGGGGAGCUCCCCCCACCUCCCCGGGCAGCUGUGCAGCCGCUCCAGAGAAGGAAACCCUUCCCAUAUCUGCCUCCCAUCCCGCUCAGCUGCCUCCUGCAAGGUCCUCAUCCCCUGUUUCACACCUUCCUCAGAGCCUGGUCAUCAACCACCGCCAUGCUCCCCAGCUGACACCAUUUCUCCUCUGUCCUACAGGAGCUGAGCCACACUCCUCAGUAUACGACUGCCCACGCUCAGGGGAGCAAGUGCACUUUGCCAGAGGAGCUAAGCAGAAGGUGUGUGGUGUCACUGGUAGCUCAGCGUUGGCUUCUGAGGCUGAGCCUACAGGCGUGGAUGGCUUGGCACCAGGGUCCCCAGCUCAGAGAGGAAACAAGAGGGUGGAGGAGUCACAGGGACAAGUGUUCUCGGUCAGGGAGGUGGUGGCAGUACCAGUGGCUGAGAGCUCAGCUAAAUGUCUUCAUCUUGGUUAUUUUUGCCAUUCCUUCCCACCCUUCCUCUGCUCUCUGGCCUGGCUGAGGCAUGUCUCCUCACCUGAAGCCCUGCUACAGUCCUCUCCCAAACUCAGGUGUCCUGCACUCCAUUCCGCUGAAACCUGCCAGACCUUCACGUCUUCUCACAAAAUCUUUGGGUGACCUUGUCUCAUGCUUCCUUGCAAAGUCAUUCUGUUUACUUUAUCCUCAGCUACUGCAGCUUGUUCUGCUUCCCAGUUCAGAGCUUUUGUCCUCCGACCCAGACCCCUGCCCCAAGCUAUCCCUUCAUGCCUCGUGACUUCUCUUAAAA
rnacentral:lncRNA from 1 species